CCUAUUGGAUAACUGCGGUAAUUCUGGAGCUAAUACAUGCGUAUAAACCCUGACUUUCGAAAGGGUGCAAUUAUUAGAGCAAAUCAAUCAUUUUCGGAUGUAGUUUGCUGACUCUGAAUAACGCAGCAUAUCGGCGGCUUGUUCGCUGAUAAUCCGAAAAAGUGUCUGCCCUAUCAACCUGAUGGUAGUCUAUUAGUCUACCAUGGUUAUUACGGGUAACGGAGAAUAAGGGUUCGACUCCGGAGAGGGAGCCUUAGAAACGGCUACCACAUCCAAGGAAGGCAGCAGGCGCGAAACUUAUCCAAUCUU
rnacentral:rRNA from 1 species